rnacentral:rRNA from 1 species
AGGGAUCAUUACCGAGUUUACAACUCCCAAACCCAAUGUGAACGUUACCAAACUGUUGCCUCGGCGGGAUCUCUGCCCCGGGUGCGUCGCAGCCCCGGACCAAGGCGCCCGCCGGAGGACCAACCAAAACUCUUAUUGUAUACCCCCUCGCGGGUUUUUUACUAUCUGAGCCAUCUCGGCGCCCCUCGUGGGCGUUUCGAAAAUGAAUCAAAACUUUCAACAACGGAUCUCUUGGCUCUGGCAUCGAUGAAGAACGCAGCGAAAUGCGAUAAGUAAUGUGAAUUGCAGAAUUCAAGUGAAUCAUCGAAUCUUUGAACGCACAUUGCGCCCGCCAGUAUUCUGGCGGGCAUGCCUGUCCGAGCGUCAUUUCAACCCUCGAACCCCUCCGGGGGGUCGGCGUUGGGGAUCGGCCCUUUACGGGGCCGGCCCCGAAAUACAGUGGCGGUCUCGCCGCAGCCUCUCCUGCGCAGUAGUUUGCACACUCGCAUCGGGAGCGCGGCGCGUCCACAGCCGUUAAACACCCCAAACUUCUGAAAUGUUGACCUCGGAUCAGGUAGGAAUACCCGCUGAACUUAAGCAUAU